rnacentral:tRNA from 1 species
GAGAGAUGGCUGAGCGGUUGAAGGCGGCGGUCUCGAAAACCGUUGUAGGGGAUUUCCUCUACCAAGGGUUCGAAUCCCUUUCUCUCC